AGCAGCCGCGGUAAUUCCAGCUCCAAUAGCGUAUAUUAAAGUUGUUGCAGUUAAAAAGCUCGUAGUUGAACUUCAGGCCUGGCUGGACGGUCCGCCUUCUGGGUGAGUACUGUCUGUGGUCGGGUCCUACCUUCUGGCGAAGCGUCAUGGCCUUCACCGGCCGUGGCGGGGAGCCAGGACUUUUACUGUGAAAAAUUAGAGUGUUCAAAGCAGGCACGCGCUUGAAUACAUUAGCAUGGAAUAAUGGAAUAGGACAGUGGUUCUAUUUGUUGGUUUCUAGGACCGUUGUAAUGAUUAAUAGGGAUAGUUGGGGGCAUUAGUAUUCAAUUGUCAGAGGUGAAAUUCUUGGAUUUAUUGAAGACUAACUACUGCGAAAGCAUUUGCCAAGGAUGUUUUCAUUAAUCAAGAACGAAAGUUAGGGGAUCGAAGACGAUCAGAUACCGUCGUAGUCUUAACCAUAAACUAUGCCGACUAGGAAUCGGGCGAUGUUGACAAAAUGACGCGCUCGG
rnacentral:rRNA from 1 species